UGAAGUGCCAGUGGGUUCACAGUGAUUACCUCAGUGAGACCAUUCUGGAGGGCAAGCUGAGAACAAGGAUUUCAGCUCCCAGUUCUCCUCAGCAUUUCCAGAUGCUGCUCUCUCUGCUUCUUUAAUGCAUUGCUGGAUCAAAUGGAUUAUAUGCUGAAGGAUCUCUAGAGUGGUGAGCUGUGAAGAAAAUGUCUUUAACAUGACUGUCAGAAGGCAGGGUAAAAGAUGACCCCAG